ACGAGUUAGGCGGCGUGCUUAACACAUGCAAGUCGAGCGAGAAAGGGAGCUUCGGCUCCUGAGUACAGCGGCGAACGGGUGCGUAAUACAUGAGUAAUCUACCCUUGAGGCGGGAAUAACCCAGCGAAAGUUGGGCUAAUACCGGAUAAGACCACAAGAGGAAACUCUAGGGGUCAAAGGCAGCUUUCUUUUGGGGGCGGUCCUUUGAGGAGGAGCUCAUGGCCUAUCAGCUAGUUGGUAGGGUAACGGCCUACCAAGGCGAAGACGGGUAGCUGGUCUUAGAGGAUGAUCAGCCACACGGGGACUGAGACACGGCCCCGACUCCUACGGGAGGCAGCAGUGGGGAAUAUUGGGCAAUGGGGGAAACCCUGACCCAGCGACGCCGCGUGGGUGAUGAAGGCCUUCGGGUCGUAAAGCCCUGUCGGGAGGAAAGAACGCUCUGGUGGUGAAUACCCGCCAGAGGUGACGGUACCUCCGAAGGAAGCACCGGCCAAUUCCGUGCCAGCAGCCGCGGUAAGACGGAAGGUGCAAGCGUUGCUCGGAAUCACUGGGCGUAAAGGGUGCGUAGGCGGCUUCUUAAGUCUGGUGUGAAAGCCCAGGGCUCAGCUCUGGAAGUGCACUAGAAACUGGGGAGCUUGAGUACCGGAGGGGAGAGUGGAAUUCCUGGUGUAGCGGUGAAAUGCGUAGAUAUCAGGAGGAAUACCGGUGGCGAAAGCGACUCUCUGGACGGUUACUGACGCUGAGGCACGAAAGCGUGGGGAGCAAACAGGAUUAGAUACCCUGGUAGUCCACGCCGUAAACGAUGGGCACUAGGUGUCGGGGGUAUCCACUCCCUCGGUGCCGCCGCUAACGCAUUAAGUGUCCCGCCUGGGAAGUACGGUCGCAAGAUUAAAACUCAAAGGAAUUGACGGGGACCCGCACAAGCAGCGGAGCGUGUGGUUUAAUUCGAUGCAACGCGAGCAACCUUACCAGGGUUUGACAUGCAUGUGACACUUCUGGAAACAGGAUUUCCUUCGGGACACAUGCACAGGUGCUGCAUGGCUGUCGUCAGCUCGUGCCGUGAGGUGUUGGGUUAAGUCCCGCAACGAGCGCAACCCCUAUCGCUAGUUGAACUUCUCUAGCGAGACUGCCUCGAUCAACGGGGAGGAAGGUGGGGACGACGUCAAGUCAGCACGGCCCUUACAUCCUGGGCGACACACACGCUACAAUGGCCGAGACAACGAGUCGCCAACCCGCGAGGGGGAGCCAAUCUCAGCAAACUCGGUCUCAGUUCAGAUUGGAAGCUGCAACCCGCCUCCAUGAAGCAGGAGUUGCUAGUAACCGUGGGUCAGCACACCACGGUGAUAUCAGAUCCCGGUGUUGUACACACC
rnacentral:rRNA from 1 species